rnacentral:lncRNA from 1 species
UGGCCAUGAUCAACCCUCCCACCCUUGAAAGCUCUCCCUUCUUUUCUUGCCUUCCACAGUCCCACUGAAGAGCUCGGAGGUUUGCCGAGACCCACACUGCCCUUGCAGGGACGAGCAGAGAGACGCCGGGAACAGAGGCACAGGAGGACGGGGACGCACGACCCAGGCAGAGCAGAGGUCAGGCCCAGGCCCCUCAGCAGACAUAGCCCUGGAUUCCAGUGGUCCUGGACGUGACCUGCUGUCUGUUUCCUCCACUGACACAGGCCAUGAGAGCACUUCUAUCCCACACAGUGCGUGACCCACGCGUGCUAUUGGGCGCCCACAUGCGGCAGGUCUGAGCUGGGCUGUGACACGAGGGCCCGCACACCCUGCCUUUUGAACACUCAACACAAAAAACACAAAGUAGCUCAGUGAUGUUUAUAUUCAUUACAUGGUCGAAAGGAUAACAUUCUUGAUAUAUGG